rnacentral:rRNA from 1 species
GACGGACGCUGGCGGCGUGCUUAACACAUGCAAGUCGAACGGGCCUGUCUUCUUUUUUGGGGGGUGGGUUGAGUGGCGAACGGGUGAGUAUCACGUGAGUAACCUGCCCUUCGGUCCUGGAUAACCGCUUGAAAGGGCGGCUAAUACGGGGUGGUCCGGUUGGUCCGCAUGGGCUGGUCGGGAUAGAUUCACUGUUUUUGGUGUUUCGGCGGGGGAUGGGCUCGCGGCCUAUCAGCUUGUUGGUGGGGUGAUGGCCUACCAAGGCGGUGACGGGUAGCCGGCCUGAGAGGGUGGGCGGUCACACUGGGACUGAGAUACGGCCCAGACUCCUGCGGGAGGCAGCAGUGGGGGGUAUUGCACAAUGGGCGGAAGCCUGAUGCAGCGACGUCGCGUGAGGGAUGGAGGCCUUCGGGUUGUGAACCUCUGUUUCCGGUGGUGAAGGCCCUGUCCGUGUGGUGGGGUUGACGGUAGCCGGGGAUGAAGCGCCGGCUAACUACGUG